AUUGAACGCUGGCGGCAUGCCUUACACAUGCAAGUCGAACGGCAGCACGGGAGCAAUCCUGGUGGCGAGUGGCGAACGGGUGAGUAAUAUAAUCGGAACGUGCCCAGUCGUGGGGGAUAACGUAGCGAAAGCUACGCUAAUACCGCAUACGAUCUAUGGAUGAAAGCGGGGGAUCGCAAGGACCUCGCGCGAUUCGGAGCGGCCGAUAUCAGAUUAGGUAGUUGGUGAGGUAAAGGCUCACCAAGCCGACGAUCUGUAGCUGGUCUGAGAGGACGACCAGCCACACUGGGACUGAGACA
rnacentral:rRNA from 1 species